GUUUGAAGGUCUAUUUUUAGUUUAAUAAAUGGGCCUUAGUAAUUAAUUUAUAUUUUUCUGAGUAUUAUAAAAUUUCUCUUGAUAUUAUUCACUUUAUUAUGAUAUCUAGGUAUGUGUUACCAUGUAUUAUCAUUAUCAUCAUCAUUAUUCCUGUAAAUUGUGCAACGUAGGCUUGGAGAUAAACAUCUUUUGUCCAUUCUGGAAAAUUAUGAGUGAUUCUUUUUUCUUCCUUUGGGAUCUUAUUAACUCACGUUGAAAGCACUCUUUUAUUAUCCCUAUUUCUUUGUCUUUCUGUACUUCGCCAUGGGCUUUGCCCCCACGUUUCUCUUCUAGUUUACUUAUACUUUGGGGCUACUUUGCUUUUUAAAUCAUCCAUUAAGUUUUAAAUUUCAAUGAUUAGGUUUUACUGUGUUUAGAAUUUGUACUUGGUAACUUUUCAAAAUUGCAUUUGUUUAUUUUUCAUCAGUCUCCUGUCCUUUUGUUUUCUAUAACAUUUUAUUACAUUAAUUUUAAACACGCUUAUUCUUUAUAGUCUGUUUAAUAAUAUCAUCCUAUUUUCUCAAGUUGUGCAGGUGUUAGUUAAUUCUCUUGCUUAUCUGUGCAUCUAAUUCUUAGUCAUGGUAAAUUUUUUUCAGGUCCUGUUUUGUAAAUUUUUUUGAUAUUAGCUUAUCUUAUGCAAAGUAUGAGGUUAUUAAGGGAAUUCCAAGCAUCUUGCUUUUUGAAAUAUCUCUCUGGAGCGCUUUGCAUUUGUUUCCAACAGACACCAGAGAUGUUUCAAUGACCAGAGGCUAAUGUCUAUGUUUAUUUCUCAGUAUGGGAUUUCUUGGAACACAUAAAUAGUGCAAAACUGCACCUUAAUUAAUCAGAGAGGCAUAGCUUGGAUUGUGAAUUCUCACUGGAGACGUUCUGUGCCACCCAGAGUGAAAACAGAGGCUAGCUCAAUUAUAGCCAUUCACAGCCAGCCUUUCCAUGGUAGCUGGAAGUCUAGGUAGGUGGGAACAGUGUAUCCUUACGUGCUCUUCAUCACACCCUGCCAGCACUAGCAUCAGCUGGCAUGACCACUGCUCUACCUCUCACCCACGUCUAUGUUUCUGGUGCGUGGGGUCUCCCUUUCCUGCAUGCUUGAUCGGUCCGGUCAUUUCACUUAUGUAUUUACUUAUUUAUUAAUCCUGAAUAUAAAGGUGGAAGGUCUGAAAAGCUAUGACUUUAUAAAAUGAAGCCUGAGAGCUUACGAAGUAAAUAAGGACAUGAAUAAAGAGCAUUAUUGGUAACUCACUAAUGAACAAUACAAAUGACUAACAAAAAUUGUUAAUUAAAUAAAGACAAAAUAAACUCCUAUUUGUUUACUCAUCAAAAACAGGACAGAUUAAGAAGACUGGUAAGGUAUAAAGAGUCUAGACACCCUUAUACACCGCACAACUUCCAAAGAAUAUUUGGCUACAUACAAGAUGCUUAAAAAUAUGAGCGACUUAUAACCAACUCUUUCAGAAUUUCUACUUCUAGUAUUCUUUUCUUGAGGAAAGAAUCAGGCCUACCUAUAAAAUUUUCACUGGUAUCAUUUAUAAUAGCAUUAAAAAUCUUUCAAUAAACUUGUGAAGAACUGAUCAAAUACUGUGAAUUCCUUAAAUGAAUAUAUGAGUUCUUCAUCAGAAAACAGAAAUGAAAAAUGCUAUUUUUUAAAGCACAUAUACAGUCAGUCCAGUAAACUAGUUUGAAGCUAUGUAAACUUCUUAUCAUUCUCUGGUAAUAUUCUCUUUAUUUCAAUGACAUUCCCCUUCCUGCACAGACUUGGAGUUAUCAAAAGCAGUCACCAGUCAUUGUUUUACUCAUUUUUAUGGCCUUAAUCAGAGCUCAUAAUAAAUACUCAAUAAAAGUAUAUAUAAUUUAGUCAGUAAAUAAAAUUAAUGAAUAAAUAAAAAUUUUAAAUGAUGGUGCUGCAAUCAACUUUUGAUAGGAUAGUGAUAAUUUAAAAAAUAAAAUGAAAUGAAUCACUGGAUUAAAAUGAACCACUGUGAUAACAUUCUAAAAUGUGGAUCAAGCAUUUUAGAAAUCGAUCUCUUUAAAUAGGUAACAUUUUGAAACUACUGUAACGCCAUAGUUAACUCUAUGCAUAAGGUUUAGCUUAAAACCAAACAGAAGUAAAAUAUUUGACUGACUAUAAGAAGAAUUUCAAACUAUCAGUAAUAUCCUCAUAAACCAUCCCCCUACAAUCCAUUUCAACUGAAGAAUUUAGCUGCAUUCCUUCUGCUAAUGGCUCUUCAGUUUAUGCUUCUUGAAACAACUCAUAGGAGAGAAAAGAAUGGGCAUAUUUUCAGUGCAUUCAAGACUACACUUCCGUUCCCAGCCUUACUAAGCUCCAUCAUAAGUGGGUAUCAAAAGGGGCUCUAAAUGAUCUCUGCCAAAGUGCUGGCUCCAUAUAUACAGUCAUAAAAGCAACCAAGAAAAAUCCGUCUAAAACAAGAUAGAAAACUCCUUAAGAAGCAAAUUAUGUACUAUAUAUGUGACAGUAGAAGGUUUAGAUACAUGUAAAGGAAGUGCCUUCUGUUCUGCUAUUUUAGCAUGGCAUCCUACUCUGGAAGUCAGGCAAGUUCUGUUGAUAUAUGCUUAGUAAAAUAUUGUUUUCAUAUUUAAAAAUCGAAUCAAUAUUCAACAAUAUAACAUUUAGAUAAUGGCAAAGGGUAAGCUUUGGGAUUUACAAGGAAUGAAUGAUCUUGAAGAAAACACAGAACUUUAACUAGGAUUUUAUGUGUGGUUAUCCCAGAGUUCUUUUUAGUAUCCUAGAGAACAAACGCAUACUUCAGCCCCAAAUGUUACAAUAAUAUAAAGAUAAUUAUACUGUCAGAAAUCUGGUAUGAGAUUCUGUUGUCUGAAUGGUGUGUAUUUUUAAUCAAUCCAAAAUCUCUGAUUUGGGAAUUUAAUACCAGUGAUUGCUGUUAAUUUCUUCAUAUUAGUACUCAUCAUAAAAAUCGUAUUUCCAUAUGAGUUUUUCUUCUCUUCAUAAAAUCUUAUCCCGAGACAGCUAAAAUCCUUCGGAGAGCACAAACAGUCAAACCUGGGCUCACAACACAGAGAUAAAGCAUUCUUUAUAGCAGCAUUCAUUAAGGUCCUAGACAGAGUACAAAAAGCAGCAACAGGGAGCUUUCCCCUAAAAGCUUUUAAUACAACUCUUUCCAAGACCCAUUAAAUCGGUCCAGCACUACAGCCUGCGGCCACCCCCAUCUAUUGAUUCCCGUCGCUACAGAGCCCCCUACUCUGUCUGACUAAAGUCUGAGGUAAUUUAUGCCUGAUGAAUAGUCCACUGAAGAGUCACUAGGACAAAAGCAGCGAGUCAGAAUCCAAACUCUAAGUGAGUCAGUUGUCCAGUGUUGUCCGUUUGUUCCUGAAAAGUCCCUGCGAACAUACAUAUUUUAUAAACCUCUUUCCAUUGAUUUCUAUUUGACUUACCCAAACAGGCCCUACUCAUCGUUAACAUUUAUUGAACACAUCCUAUGUGGAGGAACGAAGACCCGUGCAUCAAACAUUAUUUUUAUAACAGCAUGAUGGGUCCUGCAUCCCUGUUUUACAGAUGAGAGAGAUGAAGCUCAGAAAGUUUAAGUAACUGUCCAGAACAUCAAAGCCAAUAGGUGACAGAGCGCUGUUUGAAAAAGCCUUAUACUGAAUCUUUCUACUCACUUUGUAUUUUUAUUUGGGGCUGCAUUUCCAUGGACGAGGGCCUGGGGUGGACCUAGUUUUGCGGUGGCAAGUGACAGGGACACAAUCCUUGUGUUCACGGUGCUUCCAGUCCCGUGAGAGCAAAAACCAUAUGUGAGUAAAUUAAAAAUCAAUGGCAAAUUAUAAUAAUUACAAUGAGGAAUGAAAUAAGUUCUGUUCCCACAGAAGAAUAUUUUUUCUUUUUUGCAGAAUUAAUAACCGAAAAUGUCUUUCUUUUACAUUUAUUUGGCACACUGAGCUUAUAUUUUCAAUAAGGUACAUCCAUAAAAAGAUUUUUAUCACUUUCUUUCUAAUCCAAAGGAUGACUCAGAGUAUUCUUAAUUCAGACAAGCUUAAGUUCUUGGAAACGGAAUAUCCUUUAUCCAUAAGAUACCCACAUAUUCUGAACCAUGAAGUCCCAAGUAUGCUUCUGGUCUCAGUGCCCUUUCCCCGUUAGCAGUCUGUGUUCUCCAGAGUUUGGGCUGUAGGAGAUGCCUCUACUAAUACACUAUUUAGAGACAUUCUGGAUGUGUUUGGGGAGAACGGCGGUGAGCCUAAACUACUCAUCAGGUCCUGCAGUCUCUGCUAGAAUCAUUACACAUGCGAACUCCUUAGGCUCCAUCACCUCGCCAAGUAGAUGACUGCUGUGCUGACUUCACUGGCGGGAAAAGUUAGAGGGCAAGAAACAUGCUCGAGAUCAGAAAACGCAUCCAAGCCCUUGUGGAUUCAGUCUUUGAUCAUCACAUGGAUUGUCUUUCUUACAUGCGCGCGCACACACACACACACACACACACAACACACACACACACACUAUACAUAUGCAGAAAAUGGCCUGUUCUUUGCGGAUGGCCUUGACUGGAGCACUAAGAACAGAAGUGUCUUGAAGACAUCAUUUACGAUUCCCCAGGUCAGACUUCCUAAGCGUCUCUCAAACACACCCUGUUAAUCACGUCACCAUUCGUUCUCCAAAUACUGACCGAGCCCCUUCUUGGUGCCAGAUAUUGCAGUAGCCACCAGGAUGCAACUAAAGACACGAUGAAUGUAGGCUGCCCCUGUCUAUGUGGAGUUUGAAGUCUAGCAGAAAAAGCAAACGAAAACAAGUAAGAAGCAUAAAAUAACUGUAAAUUGCUCUAAAUGUUAUGAAAUUUAGGCAAAACAAAGUCUACUAGCUUCCUCAUGGGUUAUCUUAUUCCAGCAUGCCAAUAUACCAACCCCCAUGCCAUCUCUAAAACUUCUAAACACAAACUUUAAAAUAUUUCUCCAGUAUUCAAAUUCCUUUAAAAGCUCCAUAAAAUCAUCAGCCUAAGUCCAUGUGAUGCAAGCUACUAUGAUGCGUCCUCUGGCUUCAGCUUUUGUGUCCACUUGACAUUAUAGGCUUAUAACCUAUGACAUUUUUUUUUCAUAAUUGAAAAGUUGUGACCUGAAAAA
rnacentral:lncRNA from 1 species